GGCGUGUCUGACUCUUCUGCAACCCCAUGUACCAGCCUGCCAGGUUCCUCUGUCCAUGGGAUUUCUCAGGCAAGAAUACUGGAGUGGGUUGCCAUUUCCUUCUCCAGGGGAUCUUCCCGAUCGAGGGCAGCUUCCUUACUACUGAGCCACCAGGGAAUCAGACAUAACCUGGGAACCUCUCAAAAAGCUCCCAGAGCUGUUCCCCGUGUUAGAAGUCAAAGCACAGUUAUGUUUUUGAGACAGAGGGUUGCACAUUAAAUGAUGUAUUAUUGACAGUUUACACAAUCCAGAUCUUCAGGUACAAAGUGGUGGAUCGUCGUGACCCCUGGCAAGAUUAAGAAGGCAUGUUCUCUUUUUAAGGAUAACAUUCUUGAUGAAGCUGGGAGAAAGUUGCUCUUUAUGGCUGAACAGCAGUUACCUUGAAACUGUCUAAACCAAGACUUGGACAGCAACAUCAUAUUCACAAUCUGUACUGUCCUCAAGGCCGAGUCAGUUCACCUGGUAAGUCUUAAUGGGCCUUUGCACAGAGCCUUCUUCAGUCUUACACCCUAUUGCUUGGAAUCUAUACACUCAGUUUUUAUGACAUCAAGAAAAUUCUGCACUUUUCAUUUGUGCUUGCCAAUUUCAGCUAGCCACUCCUCCCUCCCCACCUCUCUCUCUGCUUGGGAAAUACAGAGAGGAAUAGUUAGUACGCAUGCCCGUUUCCCCCUUCCCCUCCACUUUCCCCAGCAGUCUCUGUGUUCUCCACAGGCGACUUCACUGAAUACCGCGCUUCAGCGCUGCAUGAGUCUCAAUCUUUCCAGACUACCAUAUCUAUUUUUUCAGCCACCCAGCUCCUGAACACUUAAUAUGAUGAAAAACACAUAGUCUAGGUUUUUGUGACUGCAGCCCCGUAUUAGUUCAGCCUAAAAAUGAAAGGGUUUCCCAGGUAACUCAGUGGUAAAGAAUCCACUUGCCAAUGCAGGAGACUCAGGAGACAUGGGUUCGAUCCCUGGGUCCAGAAGAUCCCCAUGUCGAGAAGAUCCCCUGGAAGAGGGCAUGGCAACCC
ensembl:lncRNA